rnacentral:RNase_P_RNA from 1 species
CUGUAAACCCCAUCCGAAGCAAGACCAAAUAAAGAACAAUCAGGCUGCCCGUCUGGUUCUUAGGUAGGUCGCUUGAGCUGUCUGGUAACAGGCAGCCUAGAUAGAUGAUUAUUCUCGACAUAACCCGGCUUAUCGUCUGACUUCCAAA